rnacentral:misc_RNA from 1 species
AACGCACGAGACCUGCGGACCUGCGGAGGGAUCAUUACCGAGUUAUCCAACUCCCAACCCCUGUGAAUCAUACCUUUAAUUGUUGCUUCGGCGGGACUUCGCGCCCGCCGGGGACCCAAACCUUCUGAAUUUUUUAAUAAGUAUCUUCUGAGUGGUUAAAAAAAUGAAUCAAAACUUUUAACAACGGAUCUCU